UUUAGCAAAUCCCNGAAAUAAGUCCCAGUUCGGAUUGUAGUCUGCAACCCGACCUACAUGAAGCUGGAAUCGCUAGUAAUCGCGAAUCAGAAUGUCGCGGUGAAUACGUUCCCGGGUCUUGUACACACCGCCCGUCACACCAUGGGAGUCGGAAAUGCCCGAAGUCAGUGACCUAACCGAAAGGGAGGAGCUGCCGAAGGUGGAGCCGGUAACUGGGGUGAAGUCGUAACAAGGUACC
rnacentral:rRNA from 1 species